UAGGGUAUUGGCCUACCGUGGCAAUGACGGGUAACGGGGAAUUAGGGUUCGAUUCCGGAGAGGGAGCCUGAGAAACGGCUACCACAUCUAAGGAAGGCAGCAGGCGCGCAAAUUACCCAAUCCUAAUACAGGGAGGUAGUGACAAGAAAUAACAAUACAGGACUUUUUGGUUUUGUAAUUGGAAUGAGUUAAGUAUAAACCCCUUUACAAGUAUCAAUUGGAGGGCAAGUCUGGUGCCAGCAGCCGCGGUAAUUCCAGCUCCAAUAGCGUAUAUUAAAGUUGUUGCAGUUAAAAAGCUCGUAGUUGGAUUUCUGUUAAUAAUUUAUAUAAAAUAUUUUGAUGAAUAUUUAUAUAAUAUUAACAUAAUUCAUAUUACUAUAUAUUUUAGUAUAUGAAAUUUUACUUUGAGAAAAUUAGAGUGCUUAAAGCAGGCAUAUGCCUUGAAUACUCCAGCAUGGAAUAAUAUUAAAGAUUUUUAUCUUUCUUAUUGGUUCUAAGAUAAGAAUAAUGAUUAAUAGGGACAGUUGGGGGCAUUUGUAUUUAACAGUCAGA
rnacentral:rRNA from 1 species